GAAUGCCGACUUGAGAGAGGUUUUUUAAGAAAGCUCUUCGGAAACUAUCUUCCUCCAUUUUUAUUAAGAACGUUGUGAAUGAUACAUUCUUGAAAUAAUUUGAACCUCCGAAUUGACUAUACAUUCUUGAAAUAGUUUGAACCUCCGAAUAGACUAACCCCCGCGUGAUUGUCUAGUGACAGAGAAGUGAGUCCAUCAAGGAAGUGCUGUUUUUAUUUGGGUAAGGAAUGACAGGAUACCAGAUGGCUCGGGAACAGGCUUUUUAGCUCAACCGCACGAGGUUGGCUCGAGGUCGCAAUAACGGAACGGAGGAUACACAACAACGCGCACUGAAACCGUGUUGGUAACUAAAGGAACUCGACUUUUUGAUAAAUUCGCAUUUUACCGAAAAUUCUGCUUUAGCAAGAGCCAUUUGUCACCCUUCUACGAGAAUAGAAAGUGGACUCGCUUUUUAGAAAUAUGGAACUGCUGCGAUGCUGUCCUGCAAGACUUGGCAAAGACCGACAACAGAGGGGAGGGCUGGCAUCGAAAAUGUUUGACCAAUUUUGGCGCUACCCACCCCACCAUUUGGAAGUUCAUGGAGAAAUUGAAAUGCUUACAGCAAAGUGGCGAAAUGAGAAUGGAGCAGCAACUUGCUGGCGUUUCUCCACCAUGGCAAAGACUCCUCUACCGUAAGCAACAGAAGGAUCUGAAGUCACUGGUUCAGAAGUACCUGAGUCUUACCUGAAGAACGUUGCCUACACUUUCUAAUUUCAGUUGUGAAUAGGUGAAAAUCCAUCUGAGAAAAAUGAGCACCUAGUCUACUUGGGCAUUUCUUCAUGACACAACAAUUUAAACUCUCUCAAUUACUCCAAAAUCCUUAUGAGACCAGAAUAUUAAGCACAUUCUUGGAAGAUUUGUUCCUGAACUUGUUUUUAUGGUGCUGCAUUGUCAUGUAGCCUAGUCUUAUUUUGGGGUAUUUUUUUGGUUAUUUGAAAUAAAUGUUUUAGGCUUAUUAUAUUAUAUUUUGUUAACCCUUUGUUGUUGAUAAAUAAAGGUUUUUAUAGUGAA